rnacentral:rRNA from 1 species
AGUGAACGCUGGCGGUAGGCCUAACACAUGCAAGUCGAACGGCAGCACAGUAAGAGCUUGCUCUUACGGGUGGCGAGUGGCGGACGGGUGAGGAAUACAUCGGAAUCUACUUUUUCGUGGGGGAUAACGUAGGGAAACUUACGCUAAUACCGCAUACGACCUACGGGUGAAAGCAGGGGAUCUUCGGACCUUGCGCGAUUGAAUGAGCCGAUGUCGGAUUAGCUAGUUGGCGGGGUAAAGGCCCACCAAGGCGACGAUCCGUAGCGGGUCUGAGAGGAUGAUCAGCCACACUGGAACUGAGACACGGUCCAGACUCCUACGGGAGGCAGCAGUGGGGAAUAUUGGACAAUGGGCGCAAGCCUGACCCAGCCACACCGCGUGGGUGAAGAAGGCCUUCGGGUUGUAAAGCCCUUUUGUUGGGAAAGAAAAGCAGCAGGUUAAUACCCCGCUGUUCUGACGGUACCCAAAGAGUAAGCACCGGCUAACUUCGUG